rnacentral:rRNA from 1 species
GACGAACGCUGGCGGCGUGCUUAACACAUGCAAGUCGAACGGAAAGGCCCUGCUUUUGUGGGGUGCUCGAGUGGCGAACGGGUGAGUAACACGUGAGUAACCUGCCCUUGACUUUGGGAUAACUUCAGGAAACUGGGGCUAAUACCGGAUAGGAGCUCCUGCUGCAUGGUGGGGGUUGGAAAGUUUCGGCGGUUGGGGAUGGACUCGCGGCUUAUCCGCUUGUUGGUGGGGUAGUGGCUUACCAAGGCUUUGACGGGUAGCCGGCCUGAGAGGGUGACCGGCCACAUUGGGACUGCGAUACGGCCCAGACUCCUACGGGAGGCAGCAGUGGGGAGUAUUGCACAAUGGGCGGAAGCCUGAUGCAGCAACGCCGCGUGCGGGAUGACGGCCUUCGGGUUGUAAACCGCUUUCGCCUGUGACGAAGCGUGAGUGACGGUAAUGGGUAAAGAAGCACCGGCUAACUACGUG